rnacentral:lncRNA from 1 species
UCACUCGCCAGCCCGCGGGGGCGCGGCGCCCCAGCUCCCGGCCCCGGGCCUGUCUAGGACCCCCGCCCAGUCCAGGGAGGGGGUGCCGCCCCUCCGCCUCCGCCCGGUGCGCGCACGCAGGGGCGCGGCGCCGGCCGGGCCGAGCCCGUCCCGGGGCGCUUGCUACUCCCGCCCACCCCACUUCCCCACCCGGCCUCGCCCCCUGACCGCCCCUCGCUGCUCCUCCCGGGCUGCACUCCUCUUCCACCCGCCGCGUCCCAAGCCCCUAGCUCGGAUCCUGGGCUUCAGCCUGCGUACCCCGGGGAUGCCAGGGCCCGCGGCCGCCGGCGCCCUCGGGGCACCAGAGAGAGAGAGAUGCUACGUUCUGUGCAAAACCUCUUACAGAUCACGCUGUGUAUUGAGUCCAGACGAAAAGCACAGGGAAAACCCCAACCUCGAGCGAGCCCCGUCUCACCUGAGGUCAGAACCUCUGAUGUUAGAGGGGCUGUUUUCGCAGCCAACAUGAACAUGGAGAAGGGACAAUUCAACCUUGUCUUCGCAGAGAAAAGUGCUUCUCCUGUAGGCUCAGUCUGUAAUGUUUGGGUGGGACUCUGGCACACAGCAUGGAGGUACCUCUGAAAACUAAAUAUAGAACUACCAUUUGACCCACUCCUCCGCAUGUAUCCAGACAAAACUUUCACUGAAGAAGAUACAUGCACCCCUGUGCUCAUUGCAGUGCUAUUCACAAUAGCCAAGACAUGGAAACGACCUAAAUGUCCAUCAACAGAUGAAUGGGUUAAGAAGAUGUGAUAUAUAUAUAUAUAUAUACACACACACACACAAUGGAAUACUACUCAGCUAUAAAAAAGAACAAAGUAAUUUGCAGUGAUAUGGGUGGAACUAGAGACUCACAUACUAAGUGAAGUAAGUCAGAAAGAGGAAGACAAAUACCAUAUGACACCACUAAUAUCUGGAAGCUAAUAUACAGGUGGAAAUGAACCUAUCUAUGAAAAGAAACACACUCAUGGACUUGGAGAACAGAGUUGUGGUUGC